rnacentral:rRNA from 1 species
CGCAUCUGUGCAUGCAGCAUAUCAAUAAGCGGAGGAAAAGAAACUAACAAGGAUUCCCCUAGUAACGGCGAGUGAAGCGGGAAGAGCUCAAAUUUGAAAUCUUAAAGGGUUUCCCUUUACGAAUUGUAGUUUAAAGAAGUGUUUUCUGUUGAGGUUUUGGUAAAAGUUCUUUGGAAUAGGACAUCAUAGAGGGUGAGAAUCCCGUAUUUGACCUUUACUUUCAACUUUGUGAUACACUUUCAAAGAGUCGGAUUGUUUGGGAAUGCAGUCCAAAAUGGGUGGUAAAUUUCAUCUAAAGCUAAAUAUUGGCGAGAGACCGAUAGCGAACAAGUACCGUGAGGGAAAGAUGAAAAGAACUUUGAAAAGAGAGUUAAACAGUACGUGAAAUUGUCAAAAGGGAAGCGUUUGACACCAGUGUUGUUUUUCUGAAAAUCAAUUAAAGAACUGUUUAUGCUAAGCUGUUUAGACUUUAUCAGCUAAUCUGUUUAGUUUUGAGCUUUUCUUUAAUGCACUUUUCAGUUAACAAGUCAACAUCAAUUUCUUUUGCUGUAAAAAAGCUUGAGGAAGGUGGCUUGAGAUUCGUCUUAAGUGUUUAUAGCCUCUUGCCUAUGCAGUCGGAGAGAUUGAGGUCUGCAGCGUAGAUCCUUCGGGGCUUAAUGCAUUUGUGCUAAGUUAUAGCAUUUCAUAGACAACUUGUUGACUAUGAUUUGUCUUGUAGCUUACUCGCUUAUGUUAUUUUACCUACGCUUAGGAUGUUGACAGCAGUAUAGACUGU